UUGAGGUUGAAGAGGCGCUGUUUGCGCCUUCUUCACCACACUGUCUGUGGGUGGACCAUUUCAAUUUGUCCGUGAUGUGUACGCAAUGGAACUUAAAACUUUCCACCUUCUCCACUAGAAGUCCUCAGACUUCUUCUUUGCCAGCUCUUACCCCUUUCUUCUUCUCUUCAAGCUCUUUCUGUUUUUCCACCUUAAAUGUAUCCUCUUCACUUUCAUCUGUCAUGUCCCAAUCACUCAGUUCCGUCUCAACCUCUGUUGCAGUCUGCUCUUCUGGCUUUGUCUCUAUUACUGUUCAUUCUCAGACGUCUUAUUCCCCUCUUAUCAUUCGCUUAUUCUCAAUCUUCUUCUCCAUCUCUAUUUCCCUCAGCCUGUUUUGUGGCCACCUUUUUCUCUACUCUCUCUGCCACUCCUCUUUUCCUCUUCCAUCUCUUUCUGGCUGACACUCUAGCAGUCUUUCUGUUACUUUUGUCAGACUCGAUGCCUCACUUUCAAUAUCGCUGUCUGUAUCAGUUUCAUUUGAGGUAUGGUCUAGUGCUGUAAAUGAGAAGUGUUUGCUAUUAGCUAUUAGUUAAAUACCACAGAGGGUUCCUAUCUGCUGUGAACCUCCAUCCUUAGUGUCUUUCUCUUUAUCCUGAUCUGCACAGCUUCUCCUCCAUCUCUUUCCUCUCAACCUGUUUUGUGGCCUCCACUUUCUCUGCUCUUACUGCCUCUUCGCUCCUCCUUUCCUCUUCCAUUUCUUUCUGGCUGACAUUCUCUUUCUCCAUCUUUCUGUUCUCUUCGAUCAGACGAGCUGCCUCACUUUUGAUCACUUUCCACUCCUCACCAUUCUGCGUUAUCUCCUCAAUUGGUCUCUGUGUAAGAGAAGGGGUAUAGACAGAGAGAGAAAGAGAGAGGACAAAAUGGAUAUUAACCCUUGUGUGGUGUUCGGGCCCGUGGGACACACAUUCAAUGUUUAAAAGUAAAUUAUACAAUUAGUUAUUUUUUCAACCUGGCUUGGCCUUGGCUAAUUUUCAUUGAGUGCACACUGUGCACCCCCCUACACAUUUAUAUUACAUAUGAGGUCUUUGGGUCCCCUGGAGGGUAAUAAAAGUGUGUGUAGGUGAAAUCAAGUAAAAAAUUUAACAAAAAGGUUUGCUGUGUGCCUUCACUCUGUCUUCCUCCUCCCUGGGCCUGCUGUUUCAACAUAGAUAGGUUAUUGGUGCUAUCUCCCACUUUUCCCGCACUCUUUACCCUUUGUAGUGUGUGAACCUGCACAAUGUUAUUACAAUACAUUAUUUCGAUACAUUGUAAAAAAAUAAAUAAUAAUAAAAUAAACUCAGUAUUUUUACAGAGAGAGAGGCUAGGGUGGAAGGAGCGUCUUCCACUCUGGAAGAUGAAGAAUUUUCAGAAUAUGAGGAUCAUGUCUGCCAGUGAGUUGAAAGAAGAGGAUGAGAUUGACCCUCAGCCAGCCCCAGGACCAGCCCAUCAGCAGCCAGGACCAGCCCAUCAGCAGCCAGCCCCAGGACCAGCCUGUCAGCAGCCAGCCCCAGGACCAAACUCAUUUACAUGCAUACUUUUGGGUUCUUAUUCUUGCUGGUGUUUUCAGAUCCAAUGGGAAAUUCACAGAAUCCCUGUGGGAUGCAGAAACUGACAGAGAACUUUUCCGUUCAACGAUGUCUGGAAAACGUCCACAUUAUUUCCAGGAGUAUCAGCUUCGAUAACCGAGACACCAGACCAGCUCGGCGGCAGAGGGACAAGCUAGCUGCAGUCAGGUCAGUGUGGGACAAGUGGGUGGACCGCCUUUCCCUGUUUUACAACCCUAGGCCCAACAUUACUGUUGAGCAGCAUAUGCCAUUUAGGAGCCACUGCCCCUUCAGGCAGUACAUACUGCAUCAUAUGCAUGGAACUUGCACAUGUAUACGGGGAAGCCAGAUGGAGGAGCCCCUGAGAAGAACCAAGGGAUGCAGGUUGUCCUGGACAUGACACAGGGACUCCAUGGCCACAACAUCACAUGCGCUAACAUUUUUACUUCUCACAAGCUGGGACAGGAGCUCCUCAAGAGGAAGCUGACGAUGGUAGGAAUAGUACAAAAGGCCUAUCAAUUCCUCUAAGUUUGUGUUCCCUAGCGUCCUACGCUCCAAAGAAAGGCAUAAAUGUGGUACUCAUGAGUACACUGCAUGGUGAUGGGAGAAACUGUCCAGGAACAUCAAAAACAGAAAUCAUAAUGGAUUACAAUGCCACAAAACGAGGGGUGGACAAUUAAGACAUGCUUGUGACUGGCCACAGCUGCAAAAGAAGAACCCUACUCUGGCCACUUGGACAUCUCGCGUUUCUCAUCUGGAUGGCGUUGAACCUAGAUUGGAACAGAGGAGACGGCUCUUUCUCGAGGAGCUGGGACCUAAAAUCCAGAGAAGGCAACAUAUCCCAAGGACCCCAGCUUCUGCAGCCAUCCUGAGGAGGAUUCAGGAGGAGGAUGCUGGUUCCCCAUCCGCCCGACCCACAGAACCAACAACUCCAAUACCGCAAAUGCACUGAAAUUCAUUGGAAUGACUGAAAAGAUGGUAGAAAGUCGUCUGAACGAAGACGUUGAAAGCUGUGGGAGCGAAGACUUUGAAAAGACGAUGGCAUCCUGACCACGUCUACUGGGGGUAGCUUUCUUUACUGUACUACGGGACCUGAUUCACAUUCCAUACAAA